rnacentral:tRNA from 1 species
GAAGUAGUUCAGCGGUAGAAUACAACCUUGCCAAGGUUGGGGUCGCGGGUUCGAAUCCCGUCUUC